rnacentral:rRNA from 1 species
AGAGUUUGAUCAUGGCUCAGAUUGAACGCUGGCGGUAUGCCUUACACAUGCAAGUCGAACGGUAGAGGGGCAACCCUUGAGAGUGGCGAACGGGUGAGUAAUACAUCGGAACGUGCCCAGUCGUGGGGGAUAACGUAGCGAAAGCUACGCUAAUACCGCAUACGACCUGAGGGUGAAAGCGGGGGAUCGCAAGACCUCGCGCGAUUGGAGCGGCCGAUGGCAGAUUAGGUAGUUGGUGGGGUAAAGGCCUACCAAGCCUGCGAUCUGUAGCUGGUCUGAGAGGACGACCAGCCACACUGGGACUGAGACACGGCCCAGACUCCUACGGGAGGCAGCAGUGGGGAAUUUUGGACAAUGGGCGAAAGCCUGAUCCAGCCAUACCGCGUGCAGGAAGAAGGCGCUACGCGUUGUAAACUGCUUUUAACCGGGAAGAAACCCCAGGACGUGUCCUGGGUUGACGGUACCGGAGGAAUAAGCACCGGCUAACUUCGUGCCAGCAGCCGCGGUAAUA